rnacentral:rRNA from 1 species
CCUACGGGCGGCAGCAGUGAGGAAUAUUGGUCAAUGGGCGAGAGCCUGAACCAGCCAAGUCGCGUGAGGGAGUACUGCCCUCUGGGUUGUAAACCUCUUUUGUCGGGGAGCAAAAGCCGGACGUGUCCGGCUGUGAGAGUACCCGAAGAAAAAGCAUCGGCUAACUCCGUGCCAGCCGACGCGGUUAUACGGAGGAUGCGAGCGUUAUCCGGAUUUAGUGGGUUAAAAGGGUGCGCAGGCGGAUUGUUAAGUCAGCGGUAAACUCGUGGGGCUCAACCCCAUCCAGCCGUUGAAACUGGUGAUCUAGAGUGGGCGAGAAGUAUGCGGAAUGCGUGGUGUAGCGGUGAAAUGCAUAGAGAUCACGCAGAACUCUGAUUGCGAAGGCAGCAUACCGGCGCCCAACUGACGCUGAAGCACGAAAGCGUGGGUAUCGAACAGGAUUAGAUACCCGAGUAGUC